UACGUAGGGGGCAAGCGUUGUUCGGAAUUACGGGGCGUAAAGGGCGCGUAGGCGGCACAGCAAGUCGGGAGUGAAAGCCCGGGGCUCAACCCCUGAACGUCUUUCGAAACUGCUGAGCUCGAGUGCGGAAGAGGCAACUGGAAUUCCCAGUGUAGCGGUGAAAUGCGUAGAUAUUGGGAAGAACACCUGAGGCGAAGGCGGGUUGCUGGGCCGACACUGACGCUGAGGCGCGAAAGCUAGGGGAGCAAACGGG
rnacentral:rRNA from 1 species